ACGCUAGCGGCAGCCUAACACAUGCAAGUCGAACGGUAACUUUUGGUGCUUGCACCGAAAGACGAGUGGCGAACGGGUGCGUAACGCGUAUGCAAUCUGCCUUUUACUAGGGUAUAGCCCAGAGAAAUUUGGAUUAAUCCCCUAUAAUAUCAUUUUUCCGCAUGGUUAAAUGAUUAAAGCUUCGGCGGUAAAAGAUGAGCAUGCGUCUUAUUAGUUUGUAGGUGAGGUAACGGCUCACCUAGACUACGAUAGGUAGGGGCCCUGAGAGGGGGACCCCCCACACUGGUACUGAGACACGGACCAGACUCCUACGGGAGGCAGCAGUGAGGAAUAUUGGACAAUGGACGAAAGUCUGAUCCAGCUAUGCCGCGUGCAGGAUGACGGCCCUACGGGUUGUAAACUGCUUUUAUACAGGAAGAAAUACCCCGACGUGUCGGGGCUUGACGGUACUGUAAGAAUAAGGAUCGGCUAACUCCGUGCCAGCAGCCGCGGUAAUACGGAGGAUUCGAGCGUUAUCCGGAAUCAUUGGGUUUAAAGGGUCCGUAGGCGGUUUUUUAAGUCAGAGGUGAAAUCCUGCAGCUCAACUGUAGAAUUGCCUUUGAAACUGAAAGACUUGAGUUAUUGUGAAGUGGUUAGAAUGUGUGGUGUAGCGGUGAAAUGCAUAGAUAUCACACAGAAUACCAAUUGCGAAGGCAGAUCACUAACAAUAUACUGACGCUCAGGGACGAAAGCGUGGGUAGCGAACAGGAUUAGAUACCCUGGUAGUCCACGCCGUAAACGAUGGAUACUAGCUGUAUGUCUACUUCAGGUAGAUGUGUGGCCAAGCGAAAGUGAUAAGUAUCCCACCUGGGGAGUACG
rnacentral:rRNA from 1 species